rnacentral:rRNA from 1 species
GAUAGCUAAUACCGCAUAAAAGUCGACAUUGCAUGAUGUUGACUUGAAAGGUGCAAUUGCAUCACUAAGAGAUGGACCUGCGUUGUAUUAGCUAGUUGGUGAGGUAACGGCUCACCAAGGCGACGAUACAUAGCCAACCUGAGAGGGUGAUCGGCCACACUGGGACUGAGACACGGCCCAGACUCCUACGGGAGGCAGCAGUAGGGAAUCUUCGGCAAUGGGGGCAACCCUGACCGAGCAACGCCGCGUGAGUGAAGAAGGUUUUCGGAUCGUAAAGCUCUGUUGUAAGAGAAGAACGAGUGUGAGAGAGGAAAGUUCACACUGUGACGGUAACUUACCAGAAAGGGACGGCUAACUACGUGCCAGCAGCCGCGGUAAUACGUAGGUCCCGAGCGUUAUCCGGAUUUAUUGGGCGUAAAGCGAGCGCAGGCGGUUAGAUAAGUCUGAAGUUAAAGGCUGUGGCUUAACCAUAGUACGCUUUGGAAACUGUUUAACUUGAGUGCAGGAGGGGAGAGUGGAAUUCCAUGUGUAGCGGUGAAAUGCGUAGAUAUAUGGAGGAACACNCGGUGGCGAAAGCGGCUC